CAAUAGCGUAUAUUAAAGUUGUUGCAGUUAAAAAGCUCGUAGUUGGAUUUCGGGGUGGCCUGCCUAGUCCACCGCAAGGUGAGUACUGGUCAGCCGCCCUUCCUCUCGAAAGCCCCGACUGCUCUUCAUUGCAGUGGUCGGGUAGUUCGGGACGUUUACUUUGAAAAAAUUAGAGUGUUCAAGGCAGGCUCUCGCCUGAAUACAUUAGCAUGGAAUAAUGGAAGAGGACCUCGGUCCUAUUUUGUUGGUUUCUAGGGCCGAAGUAAUGAUUAAGAGGGACAGUUGGGGGCAUUCGUAUUUAAUUGUCAGAGGUGAAAUUCUCGGAUUUAUGAAAGACGAACAACUGCGAAAGCAUUUGCCAAGGAUGUUUUCAUUAA
rnacentral:rRNA from 1 species